ACAAGCUAUUUUUACAAUACUGUUUAGUUUAUAUUUAUACAUAACUGCACUAUAGCUCAAAAGCCAAGUUCAUAUUAAGGCAUCCUGAUUUUAGGGGUCAUUUUAGUUAGAGGUGCAUGUGGGUCGGUCGAUCGGGAAAAAAUAGAAUAAAAUAAAACCAGGGGAAAAAAUGAAGACUCGCAUCCGUGGAAAGGAAACGAAGGCUUUAUUGAGAUUCUGAUUUAACAGAUCUGCAAGAUAUGCAAAUAUGAGGAUUGCUGCGGUUGAGAUAGCCUAUAGCUAGGCUACGGUUGAGAGGGAUUUAGCCUGCUCAGCAGCCCCACCAUAAAUUUUGAAGCGGAA